rnacentral:lncRNA from 1 species
GUCUCGGCGGCUUCCUCCUCCCAGUGUGCGAGGGAGGCCGGGAGGGGUCCCUGGGCGGGGAGUUGCUGCGCAUCUGCUGUGUCUGCCUGUCUCUCUGUCUGGGUCUCUUUCAGGCUGCGUCGGUCUGUCUGUCUGGGUCUGUUUCAGGCUGUGUCUGUCUGUCUGUCUGGGUCUGUUUCAGGCUGUGUCUGUCUGUCUGUCCGGGUCUGUUUCAGGCUGUGUCUGUCUGUCUGUCCGGGUCUGUUUCAGGCUGUGUCUGUCUGUCUGUCCGGGUCUGUUUCAGGCUGUGUCUGUCUGUCUGUUUGUCUGGGUCUGUUUCAGGCUGUGUCUGUCUGUCCGGGUCUGUUUCAGGCUGUAUGUGUGUCUGCUCUUUGCUUCUGCUCCUGGCUCUGUGUGUAUUUCCCGGG